CUCACCAGGUCAGGACACGGUAAGGAUUGACGGACUGAAGGCUCUUUCUCGAUUCCGUGGAAAGUGGUGCAUGGCCGUUUUUGGUUGGUGGAUCGAUCCGUCUGGUUAAUUCCGUUAACGAACGAGACCUCGGCACUCCGAAUAGCGCGGCGGACGUCGCGGCCUCCGGGCCGUCUUCCGCGCGAGCUUCUUAGAGGGACCGUCCCCCGCCGGGGAAGGAGGUGCGAGGCAACGACAGGUCUGUGAUGCCCUUAGAUGUUCUGGGCCGCACGCGCAUUACACUGACGCGUCCAACGGGUGACUCCCGACCCGAAGGGGCCGGGGAAUCCGCAAGGCGCGUCGUGAUGGGGAUUGAACGUUGCAAUUGUUGUUCACGAACGAGGAAUUCCUAGUAGGCGCGGGUUCAUCAACCCGCGCCGAUUACGUCCCUGCCCUUUGUACAC
rnacentral:rRNA from 1 species